UCACACAAUAUCUUUCCACAAGUCCAGCC
rnacentral:misc_RNA from 1 species